GACUCUCGGCAACGGAUAUCUAGGCUCUCGCAUCGAUGAAGAACGUAGCAAAAUGCGAUACUUGGUGUGAAUUGCAGAAUCCCGUGAAUCAUCGAGUCUUUGAACGCAAGUUGCGCCCGAAGCCAUCAGGCCGAGGGCACGCCUGCCUGGGCGUCUCGC
rnacentral:rRNA from 3 species